rnacentral:rRNA from 1 species
AGAGUUUGAUCAUGGCUCAGGACGAACGCUGGCGGCGUGCCUAAUACAUGCAAGUCGAACGCAGUUUCAUUCACCGAGUGCUUGCACUCACCGAAUGAACUGAGUGGCGAACGGGUGAGUAACACGUGGGUAACCUACCCAUCAGUGGGGGAUAACAGUCGGAAACGACUGCUAAUACCGCAUGAUUUCCAACACCGCAUGGUGUUGGAAUAAAAGACGGCCAUGCUGUCGCUGAUGGAUGGACCCGCGGCGUAUUAGCUAGUUGGUGGGGUAAAAGCCUACCAAGGCAAUGAUACGUAGCCGGCCUGAGAGGGUAAUCGGCCAUAUUGGGACUGAGACACGGCCCAAACUCCUACGGGAGGCAGCAGUAGGGAAUCUUCCGCAAUGGACGAAAGUCUGACGGAGCAACGCCGCGUGAGUGAAGAAGGUUUUCGGAUCGUAAAACUCUGUUGUUAGAGAAGAACCACCUCUUGAGUAACUGUAAGAGGUCUGACGGUAUCUAACCAGAAAGCCACGGCUAACUACGUGCCAGCAGCCGCGGUAAUACGUAGGUGGCAAGCGUUGUCCGGAUUUAUUGGGCGUAAAGCGAGUGCAGGCGGUUCCUUAAGUCUGAUGUGAAAGCCCACGGCUUAACCGUGGAGGGUCAUUGGAAACUGGGGAACUUGAGUGCAGAAGAGGAGAGUGGAAUUCCAUGUGUAGCGGUGGAAUGCGUAGAUAUAUGGAGGAACACCAGUGGCGAAGGCGACUCUCUGGUCUGUAACUGACGCUGAGGCUCGAAAGCGUGGGUAGCAAACAGGAUUAGAUACCCUG